ACGGUAACAGGAAGCAGCUUGCUGCUUCGCUGACGAGUGGCGGACGGGUGAGUAAUGUCUGGGAAACUGCCUGAUGGAGGGGGAUAACUACUGGAAACGGUAGCUAAUACCGCAUAAUGUCGCAAGACCAAAGAGGGGGACCUUCGGGCCUCUUGCCAUCAGAUGUGCCCAGAUGGGAUUAGCUAGUAGGUGGGGUAACGGCUCACCUAGGCGACGAUCCCUAGCUGGUCUGAGAGGAUGACCAGCCACACUGGAACUGAGACACGGUCCAGACUCCUACGGGAGGCAGCAGUGGGGAAUAUUGCACAAUGGGCGCAAGCCUGAUGCAGCCAUGCCGCGUGUAUGAAGAAGGCCUUCGGGUUGUAAAGUACUUUCAGCGGGGAGGAAGGCGAUGUGGUUAAUAACCGCGUCGAUUGACGUUACCCGCCGAAGAAGCACCGGCUAACUCCGUGCCAGCAGCCGCGGUAAUACGGAGGGUGCAAGCGUUAAUCGGAAUUACUGGGCGUAAAGCGCACGCAGGCGGUCUGUCAAGUCGGAUGUGAAAUCCCCGGGCUCAACCUGGGAACUGCAUCCGAAACUGGCAGGCUUGAGUCUCGUAGAGGGGGGUAGAAUUCCAGGUGUAGCGGUGAAAUGCGUAGAGAUCUGGAGGAAUACCGGUGGCGAAGGCGGCCCCCUGGACGAAGACUGACGCUCAGGUGCGAAAGCGUGGGGAGCAAACAGGAUUAGAUACCCUGGUAGUCCACGCCGUACACGAUGUCGACUUGGAGGUUGUGCCCUUGAGGCGUGGCUUCCGGAGCUAACGCGUUAAGUCGACCGCCUGGGGAGUACGGCCGCAAGGUUAAAACUCAAAUGAAUUGACGGGGGCCCGCACAAGCGGUGGAGCAUGUGGUUUAAUUCGAUGCAACGCGAAGAACCUUACCUGGUCUUGACAUCCACAGAACUCCCCAGAGAUGGAUUGGUGCCUUCGGGAACUGUGAGACAGGUGCUGCAUGGCUGUCGUCAGCUCGUGUUGUGAAAUGUUGGGUUAAGUCCCGCAACGAGCGCAACCCU
rnacentral:rRNA from 1 species